rnacentral:tRNA from 1 species
UCCCUGGUGACUUAGUCAGUAAAGAUUCUGCCUGCAAUUCAGGAGACCUAGGUUCGAUCCUUGGCUUGGGAA